ACAAAUGACAAUGGUAGCACAUACAGGAGCCCUAAUCUCCGUAGAUCUUUGACCACGGAAUCUGAAAGAUAUGGUCGGUAUGAUCCAAGUGAAAUUCAACGUGAGAGCCGAGCCUCAUCUGAUGCUUCAAAGAAUGCACCUUCUGGUCCUUGGGGUCCAACUUCCAGUUCUACACCAACUGAUGAUACUAGCUCAAGUCAACCAGGGAUUAAGACUCGUGAAGAAAGACUUCUAGAGACAAUUGUUACUGCAAGUGGUGUGUGAUUGCAACCAACACGAGAUGCUCUGCAAUUUUUUUCGCAGAAGCUUCCAAAUUGGAUGCAGUUGCCUUGGGCCGUGCACUUGAGAGCAAACUGAAUUCUCCAUUAUGGCAGGUGAGUUUAUGUGUCUCACUUAUUUUUGUUUAGUUUCACCCCUAUGGUCCCCAUGCACAGUUAGUCAAUUAACAUAUAGUAUGUAGAAAUUAGUUCCAUGCUAUGUUUCCUAACUCUCCUGAAAGCGGUGCUAAAUAAAUUGAUCUUGUGUUGUUGCUUCAAGUUUUACAUGUAUGCACUUGUGAAUUUUGAUUAAAUGCUACUGUGAGAAUUCCCAGAAAUGCAAUAAGCUAUUAAGAAGUUUAUAUUUACAUUUUAAGAUUUUGCAAUGUCAUAGGGAAAACAUUAGGUAGAAGAGAAAUAUGCAGUAUCUUCACUUUGGACAGAUGAAAUAGGUCACAUAACAUAACUGUUGUUGAUGGUAUACUAUGCUUUUGGAUUAUGCUAUUAGUGGUUCAAUAGAGUCCAUGGAGAAACAGCAUUGUCAGCUCAAUGUUCAAUUUUCGAUGUAGUUGCCAUAAUCUAUAACUGAACAGAUGUACAAGAUGUGUUGAUGCUUGACUUGUUUACAUGAAAACAAAGAACAAUACGCAAUCAUGACUAUUGUUGCAUUGCAGUUCAUGAUAUGUUUAGAGUAUUUAUUUAUCAUACAUGCUGACAGAUUGAUUCUGAUAUUAUAUAUUAGGCAGCCAACAGCAGACCUUAAAAUUUUAAGUGGUGUUGUUCUUAAAUUUGUAUCUUUUUUUCUCGAACACGCAGGAGAGCUGCAUAUCAUUGUAUUAAGAAGAAGAAGAAGAAGAAGAAAAAAAAGGGCAAGGGCCCAUACAAACGAACACCCACUCAACUCAGAACAUACAACGCGCCUUGGAAAAAAAACGACCAAGAAUCAACUAGGCCCUCUUGAUAUCAAACUUCCUCUAGAGCCAUGCUGCUAGCACUAACACAAAGAUGACUAUGUUAGUUCAUAAGUUCAUAUAAUGUCACAGAUCUUGCUAGACAAUUUCAUGGUGUGUUAUUGUGUUAGUGCUCUAUAUUCGGACAUGUCAUGCUCUAUAGUGUGUUAGCCAAUUUCAUAGUAGAUUACCAGCCAGCAACACCACUCACAAAGGUGACUGUGUGAUUGAUGCUUCCGGGGCAGUGACUAUCUUCUCAAGAUCAUAGCUCUGGGUAUGCUGUAAAAUUCUACGGAUUUUGUGCUUGUCCUACAACACUCUACAAUAAUCAAACACGAGAGAAAAUUAUACCGUCUUUGUCUCAACUACAGUUCUCCUUAAACACUUGCUAUAUGUUGUAUUUUAACUGUGUUAUCAGAUGGCUCGUGUUCUGACAUGGGCUGGAAUUUUUUUACCUAUGACUGAAGCUACAUCAGCCAUGAAGAGGGUGGUAGCUGACUGAACAAGUGAGGAGGUCGUACAGCGUGAUCCACUUUGAUGAGGUAGAGAAGGCCCAUGUCGCCAUGUUCAACACUCUGCUCGAGGUCCUCAACGACAGCAGGCUGAUGGAUGGGCAAGACAGAACGGUGGACUUCAGGAACACCAUGGUCAUCAUGACAUUGAACCUUGGCGCUUAGCACCUCCUCGCCGGGAUGGUGGGCAAGAACUCCAUGAAGGUUGCUCGUGAUCUGGUCAUGCAGGAGGUUGUAAAUGAUCUUAAUCCUUCAGGUCAUCACAGGAAAGAGGGUUGUAAGCUUCCACUGUCAUGAGGACUCCUUGAACAUCGCUGGGUAUGUAAACACUUGUGGUUACUAAGAUAAUUAGAGACAAGGGGGCAGGUUGCUGUGCUUGCAAGUAUCUGUUGCAGAUGUUGUUCAUGCCUGAUGAUGAUGCCCCUUUUUCAUAUUGUUGUGUUUGGAUGGUGUACCACCAGUGUUUUACAACAGUUUGGCCUUUGGAAUUGCUACUGCUAAAACUUCGUUCCUCUGAGAAGAUCUUUUGUUUUUGCAUUCCCAGC